AACAAUGAUUCAAUGAUAACAAAGUUGAAUUAAUUGGAAUGAGAACAAUAUAAAUCCCUUAUCGAGUAACAAUUUCAGGGCAAGUUCUGGUGCCAGCAGCCGCGGUAAUUCCAGCUGAAAAAGCGUAUACGAAUAUUGUUGCAGUUAAAACGCUCGUAGUUGGAAUAAAACAUGGUUUUCUUAUUUUUUUAUUUUAAAAUGUAAAAAAGUAUAGAAUAUCAUUUUUUAAUUUUAUAUAUCUCCUAAAAAAAGAUAUAUAGUGUUUACUUUGAAUAAAUUAGAGUGCUUUAAGCAGAUUGAGAUUUAAAUUUUAAAUCUUUUUGAUGUUUGAAUAAUUUAGCAUAGAAUAAAAUAAUAAGAUUUGAAAGAUAAGAUUUGGUAAUUAUGUAGCAAAUAAUGAUAAAUAGGAAUAGUUGGGG
rnacentral:rRNA from 1 species